ensembl:lncRNA
CUUCAGUUUAACGGACUUUUCGGAAAGCGGGGGGCGGGAAAUGGCAGUUUGUGUCCCAGGGGUUCUUCCGCCUCUUCUCGCCUCCUCCGAAUACAAACAAAACUCAGCCCCCCAGCCUCCCCCCGCCCUCCGGGGUAACCGAGGACUCGGGGGACCGUGGAAACGUCCUUCCCCAAUCCGGCCGCCUGCGGACGCCCGGCUCCCGCGGGGCCGACGCUCGUUGGCGCCCGCAGCCUAACGCGGCCCCGCGGGGUCGGCUGCAGGAGCCCGCCGCGCCCGCGCGCCCCCGGAGUCCGCCGGCGGCGUCUCCUGCCACGGUGCGGGCCGGGCCCUCCCACUGCCCGCGAGGGAGGGCCGCAUCCCACCCCACGACCUGUGGGCUCGGCCGGCCAACCCUCUGCCCACGCGCAGCGAGAAGAGGCAAGUCGGGGUGUUCGCGGACUAGGACUAGGGGAGCCCGCGAUAGGCUCAGAGAAGCGGCGGAGGUCGGGGAGAGGCCUGCCACGCGCCCUCGCGGCUCGGCUUCGCGUCCCGACCCCCCGACAACCCCCCGCGGGGACCCGGCCUCCGGCGCAAAGGAGUCGGCGGGAGAGCCUGGAAGGAGAUCCCCAGGAAGGGAUGGCACGGGUGUGGGAGCUGGAACACAACUGGGCCGCCGGGACGGCUCGCCUCCUGGGCUGGACGUGAAAGUCUUUUCCCUCCUUUCUGAAAACUUUUCUCAGGCGUCUUUCACUUGGUGCCCCUUUGUGUGACUAAAUUUGGAAAGAAUAUGGAUCCGAGCCAGUCUUUCCACGUGUGCUCCCAGCUCCCAGCUGAGAAGGCCAAGGGUUCUCUUCCGGCUUCAGUUUGGUAUGUAGCAGCCUCUGUUGGAGCCCUGUCCAUGUUGCCACCUUUAUCAAGUGCCUUCCAGCUACAGCACUUGUGUUCUUUGCCUGAGUUCGUCUCUUGCCUCUGGGGCCUGCUUUGCUGCCCUCAAGACAGCCCGGUAAUGCUAGGAAAUUAAUAUCCUCACGAUCAACCUUUAACAGUGGUUAGUGUUCAGAUACCCCAGCUCUCUCACCCACUGUGUGGGCUGAUUCUGAGGUGUAUUCUGCACUGGUUCCCAGAGUUUGCCCAGGGGGAUUAAGCCCCAGUUGCCCAGAGUGAUCACUGGCUUGAUAAUACAUCAUUUAUUGGCUUCCUUCCUUUUUCUCUCUUGCUUCCCAACUCUUUUAUUUGUGUUUCAAUGUUUCCUUCUCCUUUCUAGUAAAUGAUUUGCAGUGGAAUUCUUAAACCCAAACUACACUACCAGGAAGGCUUUAACCACUUCUAGGACUGUUGAUUGUUAUUAGUCACUUAGUCACUAAGUCAUGUCCGACUCUGCAACCCCAUGGACUGUAGCACCCAGGUUCCUCUGUCCCUGGGUUUUCCCAGGCAAAAAUACUGGAGUGGGUUGCCAUUUCCUUCUCUAGGGGAUCUUACCCACCCAAGGAUGGAAUCUGUGUCUCCUGCAUUGGCUGGCGGACUCUUUACCAGUGACCCACCAGGAAAACUGAAGCUCUAAUACUUUGGUCACCUGAUGCAAAGAGCCCACUCAUUCUUGCCCUGACACUGGGAAAGACUGAAGGCAAAAGGAGAAGGGGGUGGCAGAGAAUGAGAUGGCUAGAUAGCAUCACCGACUCAAUGCACACAAAUCUGAGCAAACUCCAAGAAAUAGUAGAGGACAGAGGAGCCUGGCGUGCUGCAGUCUCUGGGUUUGCAAAGAGUUGGACAUGACUUAGCGACUGAACAACAGCAAUACGUGUUGAUCUUCCUUAUUACCAGAGAGCUAGCUCAGGACUCAAGGUGGACGUCUUGGGUUAUUGAGAGGAUCUUGCUAGCAUUACCA